ensembl:snRNA U6 U6 spliceosomal RNA
GUGCUUUCUUUGGCAACACACAUAAUGAAAUUGGAAUGAUACAGAGAAGAUUAUCAUGACCCCUCCCCAUGGAUAACAUUUAAAUUUUUGAGGCAUUCCAUAUUUUU